UACGAACUGUGCGAACGUUAUUCGGAAUCACUGGGCUUAAAGGGUGCGUAGGCGGUUACCUAAGUCAGGUGUGAAAUCUCUCGGCUCAACCGGGAAACUGCGCUUGAAACUGGGUGACUGGAGUGAUGCAGGGGUGUGUGGAACUUCCGGUGGAGCGGUGAAAUGUGUAGAUAUCAGGAGGAACACCGGUGGCGAAGGCGGCGAUCUGGGUCGAUACUGACGCUGAGGUGCGAAAGCGUGGGGAGCAAACAGG
rnacentral:rRNA from 1 species